rnacentral:rRNA from 1 species
CUUUUACAAUGAAGAGUUUGAUCCUGGCUCAGGAUGAACGCUAGCUACAGGCUUAACACAUGCAAGUCGAGGGGCAGCAUGAACUUAGCUUGCUAAGUUUGAUGGCGACCGGCGCACGGGUGAGUAACACGUAUCCAACCUGCCGAUGACUCGGGGAUAGCCUUUCGAAAGAAAGAUUAAUACCCGAUGGCAUAGUUCUUCCGCAUGGUGGAACUAUUAAAGAAUUUCGGUCAUCGAUGGGGAUGCGUUCCAUUAGGUUGUUGGCGGGGUAACGGCCCACCAAGCCUUCGAUGGAUAGGGGUUCUGAGAGGAAGGUCCCCCACAUUGGAACUGAGACACGGUCCAAACUCCUACGGGAGGCAGCAGUGAGGAAUAUUGGUCAAUGGACGAGAGUCUGAACCAGCCAAGUAGCGUGAAGGAUGACUGCCCUAUGGGUUGUAAACUUCUUUUAUACGGGAAUAAAGUGAGGCACGCGUGCCUUUUUGUAUGUACCGUAUGAAUAAGGAUCGGCUAACUCCGUGCCAGCAGCCGCGGUAAUACGGAGGAUCC